rnacentral:misc_RNA from 1 species
AACAAGGCGUACCUGCGGACCUGCGGAAGGAUCAUUACAGAGUUGCAAAACUCCCUAAACCAUUGUGAACGUUACCUAAACCGUUGCUUCGGCGGGCGGCCCGGGUCCUUCCCGGCGCCCAUCGGCCCUCGCGGGCGCCCGCCGGAGGUAAACCAAACUAUUGCAUUGUAUGGCCUCUCUGAGUCUUCUGUACUGAAUAAGUCAAAACUUUUAGCAACGGAUCUCAGAUCGGAAGAGCAC